GCCUGUGUGGCGGAAUGGCAGACGCGUUCGACUCAAAAUCGAAUACCUUCUGGGUGUGGAGGUUCGAGUCCUCUCACAGGCA
rnacentral:tRNA from 1 species